AGCAGCCGCGGUAAUUCCAGCUCCAAUAGCGUAUAUUAAAGUUGUUGCAGUUAAAAAGCUCGUAGUUGAAUUUCGGAAUCAAUAUGUUGGUCGUGCCUUGGUACGUACUGGCGUCAUUGGUUUCUACCUUCUGAAGAACCUCGAUGUCAUUAAUUUGGUGUCUUGGGGAAUCAGGACUGUUACUUUGAAAAAAUUAGAGUGUUUAAAGCAAGCUCACGCUUGAAUACAUUAGCAUGGAAUAAUGAAAUAGGACGUUUGAUUCUAUUUUGUUGGUUUCUAGGAUCGACGUAAUGAUUAAUAGGGAUAGUUGGGGGCAUUAGUAUUCAAUUGUCAGAGGUGAAAUUCUUGGAUUUAUUGAAGACUAACUACUGCGAAAGCAUUUGCCAAGGAUGUUUUCAUUAAUCAAGAACGAAAGUUAGGGGAUCGAAGACGAUCAGAUACCGUCGUAGU
rnacentral:rRNA from 1 species